UCCGUUAUGGUCUAGUGGCUAGGAUUUGUCGCUCUCAGCAAGAGUUCUCCAGUCUCUCUAAGUGCCGACAAGGCCGGGGUUCAAUUCCCCGUGACGGAA